AUAGGCGAACCGCGAAUGGCUCAUUAAAUCAGUUACGGUUCCUUAGAUGUUGACUAUCUACAUGGAUAACUGUGGUAAUUCUAGAGCUAAUACAUGCACAAAAGCUUCGACCUUUAAGGAAGAAGCGCAUUUAUUAGACCAAGACCAAUGGGGUUCUUCACGGGACUCCUAAAUGUGGUGACUCUGGAUAACUGUUGCUAAUCGCAUGGCCUAUGUGCCGGCGAUGAAUCUUUCAAGUGUCUGCCUUAUCAACUGUCGAUGGUAGGUUAUGCGCCUACCAUGGUUGUAACGGGUAACGGGGAAUCAGGGUUCGAUUCCGGAGAGGGAGCCUGAGAAACGGCUACCACAUCCAAGGAAGGCAGCAGGCACGCAAAUUACCCAAUCCCAGAACGGGGAGGUAGUGACGAAAAAUAACAAUACGGGACUCUUAUGAGGCCCCGUAAUUGGAAUGAGAACAAUCUAAAUCCUUUAACGAGGAUCUAUUGGAGGGCAAGUCUGGUGCCAGCAGCCGCGGUAAUUCCAGCUCCAAUAGCGUAUAUUAAAGUUGUUGUGGUUAAAAAGCUCGUAGUUGGAUCUCAGUUCGAGUCAGGCGGUCCACUUGCCAGUGGUUACUACUUGACUGAACACUUUAUCGAGUUGUCCUAUGGUGCUCUUCACCGAGUGUCAUAGGCGAUCGGUACGUUUACUUUGAAAAAAUUAGAGUGCUCAAAGCAGGCGUAACGCCCGAAUAAUGUUGCAUGGAAUAAUGGAAUAGGACCUCGGUUCUAUUUUGUUGGUCUUCGGAAUCUGAGGUAAUGAUUAAGAGGGACAGACGGGGGCAUUCGUAUUGCGGCGCUAGAGGUGAAAUUCUGAC
rnacentral:rRNA from 1 species